CUGGCAUUGCAAAAAAGUUUUGAGACCAUAGACAUAGUACAAAGUCUAUGUUUGAGACUCAAAACCAAGAGAUGUCAAAUGUAAAAUGCAGUAAAAUGUGGUCAAGUUGAUUAAGACCGAUUAAGACCCUCUACCGGAGGUCCCAGGUUUGAACCCUGAUGGCUGAGGUCAUGGUGUAAGUAUACCAGGUGAAACAUUCCCGUGGAUGCGCAGUCGUUCAAAUAAUGGCUACUGUUAGACCAAUCAGAAAUUUGUCCCAAAAAGCAUUAUAGCUACCAUUCUAAUCUAACCGUUACGAGUAAGUAAGGUUAAUGAAAUCCACGAUUUUAUGUGUUUACAUACGUGUAUUCAUUAACAGAUAAAUUUAAACAUUUUCUAUAUCUACAGUAGUAAGACCAGUGUAAGAUACAAUGCCGACGUGCUGUAUACAAAAUUGCAAGAGUCGCACACAUUGCACGAAUACAAAAGGGAUAUCAUUUUAUAGAUUCCUAAAUGAAGAGAAUAUUCGUCAGAAAUGGAUAAAUGCUUGUCAAAGGAGUGAAGGAAAUAUAAAAAUUGAUUCUGAGAAAAAACGAACAUACCAUCGUACUUUGAUCUCCUACAAUGUAACAAAAAAAAAGAGCUUCUAAAACAUCUGAAAGGAAUGAUUGUCCAAGGAAUGAAAUAGAAGGAAUAGAGGUUUAUGAAAGAAAUGAAGAAAUUUGUGGAACAGAUGAAAGAGAAAGAGUUUGUUCAAAAAAUGAAACAAAAGUAAAAAAGAUUGAUGGAAAAAAUGAAAGAGAAGGAGAAAAAAAAGAAACAGGAACUUGUUAAAUCAAAGAUGAAAGGUAAGAUCAUAA